AUUGAACGCUGGCGGCAGGCUUAACACAUGCAAGUCGAGCGGGGUGAUGGUGCUUGCACUAUCACUUAGCGGCGGACGGGUGAGUAAUGCUUAGGAAUCUGCCUAUUAGUGGGGGACAACAUCUCGAAAGGGAUGCUAAUACCGCAUACGUCCUACGGGAGAAAGCAGGGGAUCACUUGUGACCUUGCGCUAAUAGAUGAGCCUAAGUCGGAUUAGCUAGUUGGUGGGGUAAAGGCCUACCAAGGCGACGAUCUGUAGCGGGUCUGAGAGGAUGCGACUCCACAGUGGGACUGUGACACGGCCCAGUGUCCUACGGGAGGCAGCAGUGGGGAAUAUUGGAGAAUAGGGGGAACCCUGAUCCAGCCAUGCCGCAUGUGUGAAGAAGGCCUUAUGGUUGUAAAGCACUUUAAGCGAGGAGGAGUCUCUUUUGGUUAAUACCCAAGAUGAGUGGACGUUACUCGCAGAAUAAGCACCGGCUAACUCUGUGCCAGCCGCCGCCGUAA
rnacentral:rRNA from 1 species